AAGCGAAUAUGCAGGUGGUUGUUAGAGAACAAGGGUACCGAGCGUGACAAACGCGAGAAGUCACUUGGAUGUUUACUCACUUGUCAGUGACUUACUCAAUUGUUGCAGUAGUGUGACUGGUCCUUUGACCUGCGGUGCCUUGGCUAUUCACAAUGAGGUUACUGUAGUUUGACUGUACAUACACUUGGUCCCUAGCCAUUCGGGUCCUUGCGGUGCAUGUUAGCUGCAGUAGGUUCAUUGUAGGAAUAGGGUGCGCACUUAGAUGGAAUCUAUCUCCCUUGGUAGAUAGGGGUGUUAGUCCUAUGUGAUUUAUGAGACCGAGUUUAGAAGACCUUGGCCAGGGCAGAAUAAAUAGCGGAAAAGGGUUUCCGAUAUUAGAAACUCGAGUCGAAUAAAUUUAACAUAUGACAGACGAUGGGGUUUGACGAGUUAUUCCAUAACCUCCGUCUAGUCGGGACUUAUGAUAGAAGGAUUGUAUUACACGGUAACUGCACCAAGAUGUUCAUUAUUCCAUUCUACUGGAAUGCCACUACAUGCUGCUAGGCGUCACUGGUGGAUUGUGAGAUUCAUGAGAAUUAUCUAGACGAUCGAUAAUUCUCAUUAGGCUGAGUUGGAAUUGUUCUAAUCCAUUGAAAGGAGUUUCAGUGAUAUUGUUGAUAGUGAUCAAAAUAUAUCUCACUACCAGAUAGAAUAGAACCUAUGAGGUCACACACAUAAGAAGUUGUGAUUGAUCGGAUAGCUAGAUCGCGAUUAUUGAAUCACCGGAGGACCUAAUUGUCAAUAUGUUGAUAAUUG
rnacentral:lncRNA from 1 species